ACUCCUACGGGAGGCAGCAGUGGGGAAUAUUGCACAAUGGGGGGAAACCCUGAUGCAGCCAUGCCGCGUGUGUGAAGAAGGCCUUCGGGUUGUAAAGCACUUUCAGUAGGGAGGAAGGUAGUGUAGUUAACACCUGCAUUAUUUGACGUUACCUACAGAAGAAGCACCGGCUAACUCCGUGCCAGCAGCCGCGGUAAUACGGAGGGUGCGAGCGUUAAUCGGAAUUACUGGGCGUAAAGCGCAUGCAGGCGGCCUGUUAAGUCAGAUGUGAAAGCCCGGGGGCUUAACCUCGGAAUUGCAUUUGAAACUGGCAGGCUAGAGUCUUGUAGAGGGGGGUAGAAUUUCAGGUGUAGCGGUGAAAUGCGUAGAGAUCUGAAGGAAUACCAGUGGCGAAGGCGGCCCCCUGGACAAAGACUGACGCUCAGAUGCGAAAGCGUGGGGAGCAAACAGGAUUAGAUACCC
rnacentral:rRNA from 1 species